CUUAGUAUGGUACAGUGGUUUGAGGAUUAGACUGUGACUCUGGAGACCAGGGUUCAAAUCCCUACUCAAG